rnacentral:lncRNA from 1 species
UUUGCUCAUCAGAGGCUCGAUCACGCAACCUUUAUCCACAGGAGCCUGUAGCACUGAACUUGACAAUGACUCAAGAAGUGGUUGCCUUUGUGGGUUUUUGUUUUAGUGCAAACAGUUUUCCUUUUACACAUUGCCCAAAAAUUAUAUCCCCGACAUAAAAUCCCCCUUAUUAUACCAUGCCAGUUCUGCGUCGUUACUCUCUGCCCUCCAUCCCUGGGGUACACUCAUGUCGUGUCACUCUGGGCCACCUGCCCUUGACCUGGGUCUCUGGCGGGGAACUACAACCAUCCUGUGGUCCUCCUGGACCUUUUCUCUCCGCAGGAAGCGUGGGGAGGUGGGUGCACGGGGCAUGGGAAGGUGGUUCAGACACACGAGGCAGUGCCACCUGCUCUCUCUCCCCCUCCUCCGCCACAGGGUCUGCUGAUUGCUGGAAGGCGGUAACAUCUCACCUGUUGUAGCCAUAAAAUUAUAAUUUGUCUUGGAAAGCAUCUCAUUUAGCUGUUUGUACAUGGAACUAUGUUCUGCUUUCAGCUCUCUGAAGUCCUCAGCCCCAGAGGGUGGCUGCUCAUCAGAUGCUGCUGUGUGACUGCUCCAGCCCCAACACUCGCGUUUGAUGCCCAUCACGUGUUGCCCCAAAAAAGAGAGGAAAUUUCCAGCCAGGUCGUUUGACCAACACUGGGCACGCUGCUGGAUGGCAAUCAGCUUCUCAGACCCUUCGGUAAGCAGUGACCUGCUGGGCAUGGAAGCCCAAUAUCUGCCACCCGUGUCACACCUACGCCCCAGUGUGGAGGGUGCAACUUGGCUCAUGGUGUCAUCAGGACUUGGAGGCACGUUCAGAGCUCAUGGUCAGACCCAUCACCACCUGGCCCCCAAAACAAGCUGCAAGAGAUGUCUGUCCCCUGGAAGGUCAUUUCCAAACAAGACCCUCAGGCGCUCGGUGAAGCGGCAGCAGCAGCGGCAAUGAGGAGACCUAGCUCUCGUGUUGAUAGCACAAAAGUUGGAGACCAGGGUGACAAGGUCCCUCCCACUGUAAGUGAAGACAAGGUACGAGAUCAACUCAGGAGCCUGAAGAUAUACAAGUCCAUGGGACCUGAUGAGAUACAUCCCAGAGUCCUGAAGGAACUAGCUGAUGUAGUUGCCAAACCACUUCCCAUGAUAUUUGAAAAAUCAUGGCAGUCAGGUGAAGUCCCUGCAGACUGGAAGAAGGGGAACAUCACACCCAUUUUUAAAAAGGGUAGAAAGGAGGACCCUGGGAACUACUGACCCGUCAGUCUCACCUCUGUGCCUGGGAAGAUCUUGGAACAGAUCCUCCUAGAUGCCAUGCUUGGGCACAUGAAGGACAGGGAGGUAAUCCAGGACACCCAACAUGGCUUUACUAGGGGCAGGUCCUGCCUGACGAACCUUCUAUGAUAAAGUGACUAGGUCAGUAGACAAGGGACAACCUAUGGAUGUGAUCUAUCUGGAUUUCUGUAAGGCCUUUGACGCGGUCCCCCACAACAUCCUGCUUGCCAAAUGGGAGGGGUACGGAUUUGAUGGGUGGACCGUUCAGUGGAUAAGGAACUGGCUGGAUGGUCGCAUCCAGAGGGUGGUACUCAAUGGCUCAAAGUCCAGAUGGAGACCAGUCACAAGUGGUGUUCCUCAAGGGUCCGUGCUGGGACCGGUGCUGUUUAACAUUUUUAUCAACGAUAUAGACAGGGGGAUUAAAGGCACUAUCAGCAAGUCUGCGGACGAUACCAAGCUGUGUAAGCGGCGGCAGCAGCAGCGGCGGCAACGAGGAGCCCCGAGGUGAGCCCGGGCAGAGGGUUGGAUCCCGCUGUACAGAGGGGUCUCCGAGCUCAGGGACCCCCAGCUCACAGCCCCAGCCCCAGCGGGAACACGGAAGCCCGCAACAACCAAUCAGGCGCGGAGGGGGCGUGGCCAGGAGUCACGCGGAGAUUUAAACGCGGCAGGAGCAGGCCCUCAGGCGCGUGGCGAAGCGGCGGCAGCAACGGAAGCGGCGGCGGCGGCGGCAACGGCGGCAACGGCGAGACCCGAGGUGAGCCCGGGGAGAGGGUCGGAUCGCGCUGUACAGGGGGGUUUCCGAGCUCAGGGACCCCCGGCGGCGGCAGCAGCAGCCUCACCAAAGCACAGUGUGCAACAGGUGAGGAGGAGUUCAGGGAGGAGGCAGUGACCGGAGAGGCCCGGCCUUCUCAAUAAGGAGAGCUGAGCAGCGCGUGCAGCCUCG